rnacentral:rRNA from 1 species
UACGUAGGGGGCUAGCGUUGUCCGGAAUCAUUGGGCGUAAAGCGCGUGUAGGCGGUUCGGUAAGUCCGCUGUGAAAGUCGGGGGCUCAACCCUCGGAUGCCGGUGGAUACUGUCGAGCUUGAGUACGGAAGAGGCGGGUGGAAUUCCUGGUGUAGCGGUGAAAUGCGCAGAUAUCAGGAGGAACACCAAUUGCGAAGGCAGCUCGCUGGGACGUUACUGACGCUGAGACGCGAAAGCGUGGGGAGCAAACAGG